UCUGCCCCUACAGUCUUUGCAGAUGUGUCGAGUGUACGUCAGCAGGAGGCACAGAGGAGAGAGCCUCUGACCUAUGAGCAUCUGACUAGCAGCCCAAUACU
ensembl:snoRNA LOC120098007 small nucleolar RNA SNORA17